GAUGAACGCUAGCUACAGGCUUAACACAUGCAAGUCGAGGGGUAACGAGAGGAAAGCUUGCUUUCCUUGUCGACGACCGGCGCACGGGUGAGUAACGCGUAUCCAACCUGCCCCCAACUAGGGAAUAACCUUGCGAAAGUAAGACUAAUACCCUAUAAUUUCCUCAGAUGACAUCUGACGAGGAAUAAAGAUUUAUCGGUUGUGGAUGGGGAUGCGUCUGAUUAGCUUGUUGGCGGGGUAACGGCCCGCCAAGGCAACGAUCAGUAGGGGUUCUGAGAGGAAGGUCCCCCACAUUGGAACUGAGACACGGUCCAGACUCCUACGGGAGGCAGCAGUGAGGAAUAUUGGUCAAUGGGCGGAAGCCUGAACCAGCCAAGUAGCGUGCAGGAUGACGGCCCUAUGGGUUGUAAACUGCUUUUAUACAGGAAUAAAGUUAGCCACGUGUGGUUAUUUGUAGGUACUGUAUGAAUAAGGACCGGCUAAUUCCGUGCCAGCCGCCGCCGUAA
rnacentral:rRNA from 1 species